rnacentral:rRNA from 1 species
GAUGAACGCUGGCGGCGUGCCUAAUACAUGCAAGUCGAGCGAACAGACGAGGAGCUUGCUCCUCUGACGUUAGCGGCGGACGGGUGAGUAACACGUGGAUAACCUACCUAUAAGACUGGGAUAACUUCGGGAAACCGGAGCUAAUACCGGAUAAUAUAUUGAACCGCAUGGUUCAAUAGUGAAAGACGGUUUUGCUGUCACUUAUAGAUGGAUCCGCGCCGCAUUAGCUAGUUGUUAAGGUAACGGCUUACCAAGGCAACGAUGCGUAGCCGACCUGAGAGGGUGAUCGGCCACACUGGAAGUGAGACACGGUCCAGAGUCCUACGGGAGGCAGCAGUAGGGAAUCUUCCGCAAAGGGCGAAAGCAUGACGGAGCAACGCCGCGUGAGUGAUGAAGGUCUUCGGAUCGUAAAACUCUCUUAUUAGGGAAGAACCAAUGUGUAAGUAACUAUGCACGUCUUGACGGUACCUAAUCAGAAAGCCACGGCUAACUACGUG